rnacentral:rRNA from 1 species
UACGUAGGGAGCAAGCGUUGUCCGGAAUCAUUGGGCGUAAAGCGCGCGUAGGCGGCCCUGUAAGUCCGUUGUGAAAGUCAAAGGCUCAACCUUUGAAAGCCGAUGGAUACUGCAGGGCUAGAGUCCGGAAGAGGCGAGUGGAAUUCCUGGUGUAGCGGUGGAAUGCGCAGAUAUCAGGAGGAACACCAAUAGCGAAGGCAGCUCGCCGGGACGGUACUGACGCUAAGGCGCGAAAGCGUGGGGAGCGAACAGG